AGGGCACCACCAGGAGUGGAGCCUGCGGCUUAAUUUGACUCAACACGGGGAAACUUACCCGGCCUGGACACUGGAAGGAUUGACAGAUUGAGAGCUCUUUCUUGAUUCAGUGGGUGGUGGUGCAUGGCCGUUCUUAGUUGGUGGAGCGAUUUGUCUGGUUAAUUCCGAUAACGAACGAGACUCUAGCCUAUUAAAUAGGCUCCCGGCUUUUAAACGCCGGGAGGACUUCUUAGAGGGACAGGUGGCGGUUCAGCCGCACGAAAGAGAGCAAUAACAGGUCUGUGAUGCCCUUUGUUGCCCGGGGCCGCACGCGCGCUACACUGAAGAGAUCAGCGUGCUUUAUGUUCCUGCUCCGACCGGAGUGGGGAACCCAGUGAACCUUCUUCGUGAUUGGGAUAGAAGAUUGUAAUUAUUCUUCUUGAACGAGGAAUUCCCAGUAAAUGCGAGUCAUAAGCUCGCGUUGAUUACGUCCCUGCCCUUUGUACACACCGCCCGUCGCUACUACCGAUUGAACGAUUU
rnacentral:rRNA from 1 species